rnacentral:rRNA from 1 species
UUGAGCGCUGAAGGUUGGUACUUGUACCGACUGGAUGAGCAGCGAACGGGUGAGUAACGCGUGGGGAAUCUGCCUUUGAGCGGGGGACAACAUUUGGAAACGAAUGCUAAUACCGCAUAACAACUUUAAACAUAAGUUUUAAGUUUGAAAGAUGCAAUUGCAUCACUCAAAGAUGAUCCCGCGUUGUAUUAGCUAGUUGGUGAGGUAAAGGCUCACCAAGGCGAUGAUACAUAGCCGACCUGAGAGGGUGAUCGGCCACAUUGGGACUGAGACACGGCCCAAACUCCUACGGGAGGCAGCAGUAGGGAAUCUUCGGCAAUGGACGAAAGUCUGACCGAGCAACGCCGCGUGAGUGAAGAAGGUUUUCGGAUCGUAAAACUCUGUUGGUAGAGAAGAACGUUGGUGAGAGUGGAAAGCUCAUCAAGUGACGGUAACUACCCAGAAAGGGACGGCUAACUACGUGCCAGCAGCCGCGGUAAUACGUAGGUCCCGAGCGUUGUCCGGAUUUAUUGGGCGUAAAGCGAGCGCAGGUGGUUUAUUAAGUCUGGUGUAAAAGGCAGUGGCUCAACCAUUGUAUGCAUUGGAAACUGGUAGACUUGAGUGCAGGAGAGGAGAGUGGAAUUCCAUGUGUAGCGGUGAAAUGCGUAGAUAUAUGGAGGAACACCGGUGGCGAAAGCGGCUCUCUGGCCUGUAACUGACACUGAGGCUCGAAAGCGUGGGGAGCAAACAG